rnacentral:rRNA from 1 species
UACGUAGGGUGCGAGCGUUAAUCGGAAUUACUGGGCGUAAAGCGUGCGCAGGCGGUUUAGUAAGACAGGUGUGAAAUCCCCGGGCUUAACCUGGGAACUGCAUUUGUGACUGCCAGACUAGAGUGCGGCAGAGGGGGGUAGAAUUCCACGUGUAGCAGUGAAAUGCGUAGAUAUGUGGAGGAAUACCGAUGGCGAAGGCAGCCCCCUGGGUCGACACUGACGCUCAUGCACGAAAGCGUGGGGAGCAAACAGGAUUAGGUACCCUGGUAGUCCACGCCCUAAACGAUGUCAACUAGGUGUUGGGGAAGGAGACUUCUUUAGUACCGCAGCUAACGCGAUAAGUUGACCGCCUGGGGAGUACGGUCGCAAGAUUAAAACUCAAAGGAAUUGACGGGGACCCGCACAAGCGGUGGAUUAUGUGGAUUAAUUCGAUGCAACGCGAAAAACCUUACCUACCCUUGACAUGUCAGAAAGAUCGCAGAGAUGUGAUGGUGCCCGAAAGGGAAUCUGAACACAGGUGCUGCAUGGCUGUCGCCAGCUCGUGUCGUGAGAUGUUGGGUUAAGUCCCGCAACGAGCGCAACCCUUGUCAUUAAUUGCCAUCAUUUGGUUGGGCACUUUAAUGAGACUGCCGGUGAUAAACCGGAGGAAGGUGGGGAUGACGUCAAGUCCUCAUGGCCCUUAUGGGUAGGGCUUCACACGUAAUACAAUGGUCGGUACAGAGGGUUGCCAACCCGCAAGGGGGAGCCAAUCUCAGAAAGCCGAUCGUAGUCCGGAUUGGAGUCUGCAACUCGACUCCAUGAAGUCGGAAUCGCUAGUAAUCGCGGAUCAGCGUGUCGCGGUGAAUACGUUCCCGGGUCU